GUGAGGAAUAUUGGUCAAUGGGCGGGAGCCUGAACCAGCCAAGUCGCGUGAAGGAAGAAGGAUCUAUGGUUCGUAAACUUCUUUUGCAGGGGAAUAAAGUGCAGGACGUGUCCUGUUUUGUAUGUACCCUGAGAAUAAGGAUCGGCUAACUCCGUGCCAGCAGCCGCGGUAAUACGGAGGAUCCGAGCGUUAUCCGGAUUUAUUGGGUUUAAAGGGUGCGUAGGUGGAUUGAUAAGUCAGCGGUGAAAGUUUGCAGCUUAACUGUAAAAUUGCCGUUGAAACUGUCGGUCUUGAGUGCAAAUGAGGUAGGCGGAAUUCGUGGUGUAGCGGUGAAAUGCAUAGAUAUCACGAAGAACACCGAUUGCGUAGGCAGCUUACCAAGCUACAACUGACGCUGAGGCACGAAGGUGCGGGGAUCAAACAGGAUUAGAAACCCUUGUAGUCC
rnacentral:rRNA from 1 species